rnacentral:rRNA from 1 species
UGAGGAAUAUUGGUCAAUGGGCGGGAGCCUGAACCAGCCAAGUCGCGUGAGGGAAGACGGUCCUACGGAUUGUAAACCUCUUUUGCCGGGGGCAACGGGGUCCUUGCGAGGGCCUUAUGAGAGUACCCGGAGAAAAAGCAUCGGCUAACUCCGUGCC